rnacentral:rRNA from 1 species
CCUACGGGGUGCUGCAGUGGGGAAUAUUGGACAAUGGGCGAAAGCCUGAUCCAGCCAUGCCGCGUGUGUGAAGAAGGCCUUCGGGUUGUAAAGCACUUUCAGUGGGGAAGAAAGCCUUGGGGCUAAUACCCUCGAGGAAGGACAUCACCCACAGAAGAAGCACCGGCUAACUCCGUGCCAGCAGCCGCGGUAAUACGGAGGGUGCGAGCGUUAAUCGGAAUUACUGGGCGUAGAGCGCGCGUAGGCGGUCUGAUAAGCCGGUUGUGAAAGCCCCGGGCUCAACCUGGGAACGGCAUCCGGAACUGUCAGGCUAGAGUGCAGGAGAGGAAGGUAGAAUUCCCGGUGUAGCGGUGAAAUGCGUAGAGAUCGGGAGGAAUACCAGUGGCGAAGGCGGCCUUCUGGACUGACACUGACGCUGAGGUGCGAAAGCGUGGGUAGCAAACAGGAUUAGAUACCCGUGUAGUC